UUAAGCGACUAAGCGUACACGGUGGAUGCCCUGGCAGUCAGAGGCGAUGAAGGACGUGCUAAUCUGCGAUAAGCGUCGGUGAGGUGAUAUGAACCGUUAUAACCGGCGAUUUCCGAAUGGGGAAACCCAGUGUGUUUCGACACACUAUCAUUAACUGAAUCCAUAGGUUAAUGAGGCGAACCGGGGGAACUGAAACAUCUAAGUACCCCGAGGAAAAGAAAUCAACCGAGAUUCCCCCAGUAGCGGCGAGCGAACGGGGAGGAGCCCAGAGCCUGAAUCAGUGUGUGUGUUAGUGGAAGCGUCUGGAAAGGCGUGCGAUACAGGGUGACAGCCCCGUACACAAAAAUGCACAUAUUGUGAGCUCGAUGAGUAGGGCGGGACACGUGGUAUCCUGUCUGAAUAUGGGGGGACCAUCCUCCAAGGCUAAAUACUCCUGACUGACCGAUAGUGAACCAGUACCGUGAGGGAAAGGCGAAAAGAACCCCGGCGAGGGGAGUGAAAAAGAACCUGAAACCGUGUACGUACAAGCAGUGGGAGCCUCUUAAUGGGGUGACUGCGUACCUUUUGUAUAAUGGGUCAGCGACUUAUAUUCUGUAGCAAGGUUAACCGAAUAGGGGAGCCGAAGGGAAACCGAGUCUUAACUGGGCGUUAAGUUGCAGGGUAUAGACCCGAAACCCGGUGAUCUAGCCAUGGGCAGGUUGAAGGUUGGGUAACACUAACUGGAGGACCGAACCGACUAAUGUUGAAAAAUUAGCGGAUGACUUGUGGCUGGGGGUGAAAGGCCAAUCAAACCGGGAGAUAGCUGGUUCUCCCCGAAAGCUAUUUAGGUAGCGCCUCGUGAAUUCAUCUCCGGGGGUAGAGCACUGUUUCGGCAAGGGGGUCAUCCCGACUUACCAACCCGAUGCAAACUGCGAAUACCGGAGAAUGUUAUCACGAGAGACACACGGCGGGUGCUAACGUCCGUCGUGAAGAGGGAAACAACCCAGACCGCCAGCUAAGGUCCCAAAGUCAUGGUUAAGUGGGAAACGAUGUGGGAAGGCCCAGACAGCCAGGAUGUUGGCUUAGAAGCAGCCAUCAUUUAAAGAAAGCGUAAUAGCUCACUGGUCGAGUCGGCCUGCGCGGAAGAUGUAACGGGGCUAAACCAUGCACCGAAGCUGCGGCAGCGACACUAUGUGUUGUUGGGUAGGGGAGCGUUCUGUAAGCCUGUGAAGGUGGCCUGUGAGGGUUGCUGGAGGUAUCAGAAGUGCGAAUGCUGACAUAAGUAACGAUAAAGCGGGUGAAAAGCCCGCUCGCCGGAAGACCAAGGGUUCCUGUCCAACGUUAAUCGGGGCAGGGUGAGUCGACCCCUAAGGCGAGGCCGAAAGGCGUAGUCGAUGGGAAACAGGUUAAUAUUCCUGUACUUGGUGUUACUGCGAAGGGGGGACGGAGAAGGCUAUGUUGGCCGGGCGACGGUUGUCCCGGUUUAAGCGUGUAGGCUGGUUUUCCAGGCAAAUCCGGAAAACCAAGGCUGAGGCGUGAUGACGAGGCACUACGGUGCUGAAGCGACAAAUGCCCUGCUUCCAGGAAAAGCCUCUAAGCAUCAGGUAACAUCAAAUCGUACCCCAAACCGACACAGGUGGUCAGGUAGAGAAUACCAAGGCGCUUGAGAGAACUCGGGUGAAGGAACUAGGCAAAAUGGUGCCGUAACUUCGGGAGAAGGCACGCUGAUAUGUAGGUGAAGCGACUUGCUCGUGGAGCUGAAAUCAGUCGAAGAUACCAGCUGGCUGCAACUGUUUAUUAAAAACACAGCACUGUGCAAACACGAAAGUGGACGUAUACGGUGUGACGCCUGCCCGGUGCCGGAAGGUUAAUUGAUGGGGUUAGCGGCAACGCGAAGCUCUUGAUCGAAGCCCCGGUAAACGGCGGCCGUAACUAUAACGGUCCUAAGGUAGCGAAAUUCCUUGUCGGGUAAGUUCCGACCUGCACGAAUGGCGUAAUGAUGGCCAGGCUGUCUCCACCCGAGACUCAGUGAAAUUGAACUCGCUGUGAAGAUGCAGUGUACCCGCGGCAAGACGGAAAGACCCCGUGAACCUUUACUAUAGCUUGACACUGAACAUUGAGCCUUGAUGUGUAGGAUAGGUGGGAGGCUUUGAAGUGUGGACGCCAGUCUGCAUGGAGCCGACCUUGAAAUACCACCCUUUAAUGUUUGAUGUUCUAACGUUGGCCCGUAAUCCGGGUUGCGGACAGUGUCUGGUGGGUAGUUUGACUGGGGCGGUCUCCUCCUAAAGAGUAACGGAGGAGCACGAAGGUUGGCUAAUCCUGGUCGGACAUCAGGAGGUUAGUGCAAUGGCAUAAGCCAGCUUGACUGCGAGCGUGACGGCGCGAGCAGGUGCGAAAGCAGGUCAUAGUGAUCCGGUGGUUCUGAAUGGAAGGGCCAUCGCUCAACGGAUAAAAGGUACUCCGGGGAUAACAGGCUGAUACCGCCCAAGAGUUCAUAUCGACGGCGGUGUUUGGCACCUCGAUGUCGGCUCAUCACAUCCUGGGGCUGAAGUAGGUCCCAAGGGUAUGGCUGUUCGCCAUUUAAAGUGGUACGCGAGCUGGGUUUAGAACGUCGUGAGACAGUUCGGUCCCUAUCUGCCGUGGGCGCUGGAGAACUGAGGGGGGCUGCUCCUAGUACGAGAGGACCGGAGUGGACGCAUCACUGGUGUUCGGGUUGUCAUGCCAAUGGCACUGCCCGGUAGCUAAAUGCGGAAGAGAUAAGUGCUGAAAGCAUCUAAGCACGAAACUUGCCCCGAGAUGAGUUCUCCCUGACUCCUUGAGAGUCCUGAAGGAACGUUGAAGACGACGACGUUGAUAGGCCGGGUGUGUAAGCGCAGCGAUGCGUUGAGCUAACCGGUACUAAUGAACCGUGAGGCUUAACCUU
rnacentral:rRNA from 1 species